rnacentral:snRNA from 1 species
AUCUUUAUGCUCGGGCAUUACGCAUAUCAGUGAGGAUUCGUCCGAGAUUGUGUAUUUGCUGGUUGAAAACUUUAACCAUGACCGCUCCUGUGAGGAGAUUUAUUUCGAAUCGCAGGGAAUUUUUGGAGAAAUUUUAUUUUU